CGUAGGUGGCAAGCGUUGUCCGGAGUUACUGGGUGUAAAGGGCGUGUAGGCGGGUUAAUAAGUCAGAUGUGAAAUUCCAUGGCUCAACUGUGGCGCUGCAUCUGAAACUAUUAAUCUUGAGUGAUGGAGAGGAAAGUGGAAUUCCUAGUGUAGCGGUGAAAUGCGUAGAUAUUAGGAGGAACACCAGUGGCGAAGGCGACUUUCUGGACAUUAACUGACGCUGAGGCGCGAAAGCGUGGGGAGCAAACAGGAUUAGAUACCCUGGUAGUCCACGCUGUAAACGAUGGAUACUAGGUGUAGGAGGUAUCGACCCCUUCUGUGCCGGAGUUAACACAAUAAGUAUCCCACCUGGGGAGUACGGCCGCAAGGUUG
rnacentral:rRNA from 1 species